CCCUAGGCUAUGAUCUUCAACCCUAGGUAGUGAUUAGAACUGAGACCUAAUUGUACAAGUUCAUGAAUUAUGGUAGGAUACAAUUCUAAGGGCACAAGCACUUAGCGACACUAGAAGGCGAUUCAACAUAUAAGGUAACACAGGUGGCCCUGAUGAUGUUCAUAUUCAUAUUGGUGAGGAGUAGGCUAUGGUUGACAAGGGUGAAUGAUUAUAUUUGCUAAGGGUUGCUACAGGAUUUCACAGCUCAAGAUUGUUACAAAUUUACUUCGUUUCACAUGUAAUGUUAUUUCAUUUUGUAUUCGUAAGAAUGGAGACAUUGGUUUGUAUAAGUCAUUAUGGGCACUCUCUUGUAUAUUCUAAAUGAAAUUUGAAAUUUCCCUUUACGCUUA